UACGUAGGGUGCAAGCGUUAAUCGGAAUUACUGGGCGUAAAGCGUGCGCAGGCGGUUUUGUAAGUCUGUCGUGAAAUCCCCGGGCUCAACCUGGGAACUGCAUCUGUGACUGCAUAGCUAGAGUACGGUAGAGGGGGAUGGAAUUCCGCGUGUAGCAGUGAAAUGCGUAGAUAUGCGGAGGAACACCGAUGGCGAAGGCAAUCCCCUGGACCUGUACUGACGCUCAUGCACGAAAGGCGUGGGGAGCAAACAGG
rnacentral:rRNA from 1 species